UUACGGUCAUAUCACGCUGAAACUACCGGAUCCCGUACGAUCACCGGAGAUAAGCAACGUCGAUCAUGGUCAGUAGCUAGAUGGGUGACUACUUGAGAAAAA